rnacentral:tRNA from 1 species
AAGGAGUUAGUUAAUAAAUAACAUUGGCAUGUCAAGCCAAAGUAGUUUUACCAAACACCCCUUU